CAUUAUAUCCAUUGUUCGAAUCAUCAUAUCCCAGGUGAACCACCAUAUCCCUUGUCCGAACCACCAUAUCCCAGGUUAACCACCAUAUCCCUUGUCCGAACCACCAUAUCCCAGGUGAACCACCAUAUAUAUCCCUUGUCCGAACCACCAUAUCCCAGGUGAACCACCAUAUCCCUUGUCCGAACCACCAUAUCCCAGGUGAACCACCGUAUCCCUUGUCCGAACCACCAUAUCCCAGGUGAACCACCAUAUCCCUUGUCCGAACCACCAUAUCCCAGGUUAACCACCAUAUCCCUUGUCCGAACCACCAUAUCCCAGGUGAACCACCA